CUCCCCUUGAAAAGGAUGGAAGAGGUCCUAGUGGCCUAUACAACACGCAUAUGGUUAAGGCAUUGCCACUUACUUCGUGGCGUCUUUCUUUCUCGCUUU
rnacentral:ncRNA from 1 species